ACCUUGAUCCUCUGAUCUCAGCCUCCUGAGUAGUUAGGAUGAUAGGCUUGAGCUACCAGCACCUGGCUUUCAUAUCCAUUUUUAAGAAAUACAAAUAAACCUGUGGCAAGGUAAUUUCAUAUAAGAAUUACUGAUUUUCAAUCUAUAGGAUCAUUAGUCAGUAGUGGCACGUUGUGUGUGUGUGUGUGUGUGUGUGUGUGUGUAGGAUAAUGAGG